rnacentral:rRNA from 1 species
AUUGAACGCUGGCGGCAUGCCUUACACAUGCAAGUCGAACGGCAGCACGGGUGCUUGCACCUGGUGGCGAGUGGCGAACGGGUGAGUAAUACAUCGGAACAUGUCCUGUAGUGGGGGAUAGCCCGGCGAAAGCCGGAUUAAUACCGCAUACGAUCUACGGAUGAAAGCGGGGGACCUUCGGGCCUCGCGCUAUAGGGUUGGCCGAUAGCUGAUUAGCUAGUUGGUGGGGUAAAGGCCUACCAAGGCGACGAUCAGUAGCUGGUCUGAGAGGACGACCAGCCACACUGGGACUGAGACACGGCCCAGAAUCCUACGGGAGGCAGCAGUGGGGAAUUUUGGACAAUGGGCGAAAGCCUGAUCCAGCAAUGCCGCGUGUGUGAAGAAGGCCUUCGGGUUGUAAAGCACUUUUGUCCGGAAAGAAAUCCUUGGCUCUAAUACAGUCGGGGGAUGACGGUACCGGAAGAAUAAGCACCGGCUAACUACGUG